GUGGGGAAUAUUGGACAAUGGGCGAAAGCCUGAUCCAGCCAUGCCGCGUGUGUGAAGAAGGUCUUCGGAUUGUAAAGCACUUUAAGUUGGGAGGAAGGGCAGUAAGUUAAUACCUUGCUGUUUUGACGUUACCGACAGAAUAAGCACCGGCUAACUUCGUGCCAGCAGCCGCGGUAAUACGAAGGGUGCAAGCGUUAAUCGGAAUUACUGGGCGUAAAGCGCGCGUAGGUGGUUUUGUAAGUUGGAGGUGAAAUCCCCGGGCUCAACCUGGGAACUGCCUCCAAAACUGCAUGACUAGAGUACGGUAGAGGGUAGUGGAAUUUCCUGUGUAGCGGUGAAAUGCGUAGAUAUAGGAAGGAACACCAGUGGCGAAGGCGACUACCUGGACUGAUACUGACACUGAGGCGCGAAAGCGUUGGGAGCAAACAGGAUUAGAUACCCGGGUAGUCC
rnacentral:rRNA from 1 species